UGAAGGGAUAGAAAAAGAUAUUCCAUGCAAACAGAAAUCAAAAAAGCAGGAAUAGCUACACUUACAUUAAACAAAACAGAUUUCAAGAAAAAAACCAUAAAAAGAGACAACAAAAGUUAUUAUAUUAUAAUAAAGUGGUCAAUUCAGCAAGAGAAUAUAACAAUUGAAAAUUAAUAUGCAUAUGCACCUAACACUGGAAAACUCAGAUAUAUGAAGUAAAUAUUAGAGAUAAAGAGAGAUCAAACCCCAAUACAAUAAUAGCUAGAGACUUCAACAACCCACUUUCAGCAGUGGACAGAUCAUCCAGAUAGUAAAAUCAACAAAUAAACAUUGGACUUAAUCUGCACUGUAAACCAAACAGACCUAAUAGAUAUUUACAAAGCGUUUCAUCAAGAAGCUACAGAAUACAAAUUCUACACCUCAGCCCCUGGGUUAUUUUCAAGGAUAGACCACAUGUUAGGUCACAAAAUAACUCUUAAAAUAAUCUCCCCCCAAAAUAAAAUUAUAUCAAGUAUUUUCUCUGAUGAUAAUAGAAUAAAACUAGAAAUCACUAACAGAAAAAACUCUGGAAACUAUACAAACACAUAGAAAUUGAAAUAUGCUCCUGAGUGACUGGUGGGCCCAUACUGAAAGAAAAAAUUAAAAUGUUCUUGAACAAAAUGAAAAUAAAAACAUAACGCAACUAUGAAUAGAGUGAAAGAAUCACUUAGAAGGUUUAUAGCAAUAAGUGCCUACAUCAAAAACAGUUUUAAAAAAAUCUCCAAAUAAACUAUUGAUGUAUCAUAUACAACUAGAAAAGAGCAAACCAAACCCAAAAUUAGAAGAAAAUAAAAAUUAUCACAGAAAUAAAUGAAUAUAAAACAAAAUAUGAAAAGAUAAACAUAAUGAAAAGUUAGUUUUUUUGAAAAGAUAAACAAAAUUUACAAAAUGUUCUGAAUCUUACAGCUGGAGGCAAUUGAAAGUUGGAUGUGUGAUUCUCAUACAUGGAUCCAGAUCACGGGGUAAUUUGUGACAUACUGCUGGACCCAGCACCCAGGUCAUUUGACUCUCCUGCCUUGGCCCUUCCCACAGAGGGCAUUGUGACAUUGAGUGGGCUCAGCAGCUAGGUGAUACGACUUUCCUGCCAGGACUCUUCCAACAGAAGGGACAUUGACCUACUCAGGCUCAGUAUUCAGGUGAUGUGGCUUUCCUUCCUAGUCCCUGCUUGCAGGUGGUAUUGUGACAUAUAAUUGGGUCCAGUUCAUAGGCAUGCUGAUGACUAUCAUACAUGGACACAACCAAUAGAAGAGAUUUUGACUCUUUUAGCUGGAUUUAUGACAAUGUAUAAUGUCUUCAGCCUCCUGCUUCCGGUAAGAUGGCAAAGUAUGAGCAAGCUUAUGCAUAUUCUAUAAUGCCCUUUGGUGGUACAGAGCAUGUCAUUCCGGAGCCCAGCACAUAGCCAACAGUUAAAAUUGUCAAUCUCACACAUAGAGCCCACAGUUAAGGUCCUGAAUGUCACUAGUAGACACAGUUUACAGUUGGAAUUUUGACUGUCAUAUGUGGAUCUGGCCACAGGUAAAAUGGUGACUUAUUGCUGGACCUAGCUCACAGGCAUGGUAAUGACUCUUAUAUCUAAACCAGUCAAUAGAAGAGAUGGUGAAUCUCAUCCCUAGACUUGGAGAAAUGAGUAAGAUCAUGGGUUCAUAUAGGCACAAAUGUUUUGGAGUGCAUUGCAAGUCUUACACAUAUUAUCUACCGCCGCAGAUGGUGCAAAGAGUAAUAAUAUAACAAGGCCCAGUACACUGUUGAGAUUUUGACUCUCAUAUGCAUACACUGCCAACAGUAAAGAUUGUCACACUCCCACAUAGACACAGCCCACUGUUGAGGUUCUGAUUCUCACACCCAAAAGCAGUCAGAAGUUGGUAUUGUUACUCUAAUAUGUGGAUCCAGCCUGAGUCUCUGACCAAGAUUCAGCACCAAUAUUAGGCUUUAACUCUCCUAAUAGGUGCUGUCUGAGGUUUGGCUCUCAUGCAUGGGUUCAAUUUGCUGUUGAAAUUGUGACUUGCAGCUCGGUGUGGUGGCUCACGCCUGUAAUCCCAGUACUUGGGGAGGCCAAGGCAGGUGGAUCACCUGAGGUCAGGAGUUUGAGGCCAGCCUGGCCAACAUGGUGAAACCUGGUCUCUACUAAAAAUACAAAAAUUAUCUGGGUGUGGUGGCACGCACUUGUAAUCCCAGCUGCUUGGGAGCCUGAGGAAGGAGAAUCACAUGAACCCUGGAGGCAGAGGUUGCAGUGGGCUAAGAUCACACCACUGCACUCCAGCCUGGGUGACAAGAGUGCAACUCUGUCAAACUAAAGAAAGAAAGAGAGAGAGAGAAAGAAAGAGAGAGAAAGAGAAAGGAAUAAAAAGAAAGAAAGAAAGAAAAAGAAAGAAAGAAAGAAAGAAAGAAAGAAAGAAAGAAAGAAAGAAAGAAAGAAAGAAAAAGAAAGAAAGAAAGGGAAAGAAAGGGAAGAAAGAAAAUGGUGAUUUGCAUUCUUGGACACAUGGUUAAAUUUCAAGAGGUGUGUACUUUUAUACCUGGACCCAGAACAUGUGCAGAAAUGUAAAUUCCAUUCCUCAACCUUCCCACAGGUGUGAUUGUGACAUAUAACUUUGCCCAGCCAGAAUUUGACUGAUUUGACUAUACUGCCUGAAUAAAGCCCACAGUGUGGGUUGUGACAUAUGCCUAAGCCAAAAGCCUCAGUAAGGUGACCCUCCUGCCUAGUCCCUUCUCACAGGUGGCAUUGUGAUAUACCUCUGGUCUCAUUCCCAGAUGAUGUGAUUGUCAUCUCCUGCCUGGGCCCGGUUCAUAAAGGGGAUUGUGACAUAUUGCUGAGCCAGGAAUCAUGUGAUGUAAUCUUUCAGCCAGGGUUCUGCCCACAGGAGGCAUUGUGACAAAUCACUCGUCCCAGCACCAUAGUGAUGUGAAUUUCCUACCAGCACUCAACUCACAGAGGGGAUACUAAUACACCCCUGGCUGAGUAUUCAGGUGAUGUGACUCUCCUGCCUGGUUCUGCCCACAGGUGGGAUUCUGGCAUAUACCUAGGUUCGGAUUACAGGAAUAAUAAUGACUGUCAUGUGAGAGCCCAGCCAAUAGACGAGAUUCUGACUCUCAUAGCUGAGCUUAGAACAAUCAGUAAGCUUCUAGGUCUCCUAAUUGUAUCACAGUUACAGAGGAUUUUGACAUUCAUAAAUAUUCUAUAAAAUACUUGCAUCAUAUCAGAGCUCAUUACAGAGGUAAAAUUGUGCCUCUCAUAUGAGGCACACUAUCCAAAAAUUAGGAUUGUCACUCUCACACCUGGACAAAGCCCACUGGUGAGGGUUCAACAGUCCACAGUUGAAUUUGGGACUGUCAUAUGUGGAUCUGGCCACAGGUCAGGUGACUUGUUUCUGGACCCAGCUCAUAGGCAUGUCAAUGACUCUCAUACCUGGUUCCAGUUAAUAGAAGAGAUCUUGACUCUUGUAUCUAGGCUUAGGGCAAAAGAUAAGGUCCUGGAUUUCCUACUUUUACAGAGGUCUCAGAGAAUAGCAACACUCAUGCAUAUUGUAUAAUGCCCUCAGGUGGUACAAAAAGUGUCAAAACAGGGCCCAUGUCAAAAUUGAGAUUGUGACUCAUGUGUACACAGGCCACAGUUUGGAUUGUAACUAUUAAAUCAGAACAGAGUAUACUCAUGAGGUCCUGGAUGUCACUCACAGAAACAGUUCACAGUUGGAAUUGUGACUGUCAUAUAUGGAUCCAUCCACAAAUGGGAUGGUGACUAAUUUCUGGACCCAGCUUACAUACUGAUGACUCUUAUACCUGGACCCAACAAAUAAGAGAAAUGAUAACUCUCAUACCUGAACUUGGGGCAAUAUGUAGGAUCAUGAGUUCAUACCAGCAUGAAGGUCUCAGAGCAGGUUUUCAUUCUCAUGCAUACUGUAUGAAGCUCUUGAGUGGCACAGAAGGUGUCCUACAAAGACCCAGCACACAGAUGACACUGUGAUUCUUCUGUGCACACAUAACAUACAGUGAGGAAUGUCAUUAUACUAUAUGGACACAGCCCAUUGUUGAAGUUCUGAGUAUCACUCCCAGAUCAGUUGAAAGUUGAAUUUCAUACAUGGAUCCAGUUCACAGGUAGAAUGGUGACUUUUAUACUCAGCACACCUGUGAGGCUGAGACUGCCCUAAUUAGACAGUGUUUGCAGGUGAGUUUGGAGCUGUUAUGCAUGAAUUCUGUCCACAAUUGAGAUUGUAAUUUGUGUACUUAAACACAAUUCACAAAAGGAGUUUUCUCUUAUAACUUGAGCCAGGAAAUGUGUGGGACUGUGACUCUCAUCCCUGGACCUUCUGCAGGUGUGACUCUGACAUAAUUUUUUCUCAGCACCUGAUUGACUUUACUCUCUUGCCUGAGCUCAGCUAACAGUUGGGAUUGUGACAUAUACCUGGCCCAAACACCUAGGUGAUAUGACUGUCCUGCCUGGGCCCUGCCCACAAGGAGCAUUGUAAUGUUAUCUCUGAGACCCUCACCUAGGUGAUGAGACUCUACUUUCCUGACUAUCCCUUUCUCCAGUAAAAUUUGUGACAUAUAAUCUGGGCAUGUUAUCUAGGUGAUAUGACUCUCCUCUCAUGACUGGGCCCUGUUAACAGGGUGGAUUGUGACAUAUUACUGGGCCCAGCACCUAGAUGAUGUGACUCCCCUUUCCUGCAUGGGCCCUACGUACACAAGGGAUUGUGACAUAUUGCUGGGCCAAGCACCAAGGUGAUCUGGCUCUUGACUAGGUUCUUCCUAAAGUGGGCUUUGUGACAUAUUACUAAACCUAGCAUAAAGGUGAUAUGGCUUUCCUGCGUGGGUCCUGCCCAUGGAGGGAUAUUGAUAUUUCCCCAGCCCAGCAUUCAGCCAAUAGAUGAAAAAAGAUUCAAGGAAGACACAUUUGCUUUUUAUUCACUCAUCACUUCCCAUCACUAUGCUGACCAGAGUCAAUGUGAGCAGAGUUGAGAAUAGCAGUUUUCUGGCAGGAGAGCCACUUCUCAGCAAAAAAUGACACACUCAAAGUAUAAAUCUUUCAUGGAAGGCUCACAUAUUUUCAGCAAAUUAAGCAUAUGCAUGAAUAAAAUUCUUGUGGUGAAAUAAAGAUUCAUUUUAUUGAUUCCUAUUGAGCUCAGGUAAUAUUGGAUGAAAAGCAAAAAAAUUAUUUGAAAUAGAAAUAUUGUGAAUAAAGUUAUUGUCA
rnacentral:lncRNA from 10 species